ensembl:lncRNA
AAAAACAUCCCUAAAACUGGAUACAUUUACUGCCAUAACAUAAUAAAAUCUCUAAUAUUAAGUUUAUAUUUCUUACGUUACAGCGAACUGGCACCUUUUCUAACUGUGCCUCUUUCAUGUCUGCCUGCAGGUGAUGUGGCCCCCUACUUCAAAACGGAGCCGGGACCUCCAGAGAUCCACCUAGAAGGGAACCGUCUGGUCAUGACCUGCCUGGCGGAGGGCAGCUGGCCUCUGGAGUUCAAAUGGAUACUCAACAACACAGAUAUCACAGCCUUCUCCCCCGAGUACAAGUACACCAUCUCCUCUCUCCAACGCUCCAAUAUGGGCGUUUAUCAGUGUGUGGUGAGAAACAGGAUGGGCGCUCUGCUUCAGAGAAGAGCCGAGAUACAAGUGGCAUAUAUGGGAGACUUUCUCGACAAUGACCAAAGAAAGACAGUGACACAGGGCCGGGCCGCCAUCCUAAACUCCCCAGCAGUCAGUUGCUUCCCGCGGCCACAGGUGACAUGGUUCAGGGACGGUUACAAGAUCAUUCCAAGCAACAGAGUAGCCAUAACGUUGGAGAACCAGCUAGUGGUGCUCGCCACGGCCGCGGUGGACGCCGGGAGGUACUACGUACAGGCUGUUAAUGAGAAGAAUGGAGAAAACAAGACAAGCCCAUCCAUUUACCUGAAUGUGGCAGAUUCAGAGGCCCCCGCGGACCCUGUGGCUCCAGUGAUUGUAAUCCCACCCCGAAACACUACAGUGGUGGCCGGGGUCAGUGAGGCCACACUGGAGUGUGUUGCUAAUGCACGUCCGGUUGAGAAGCUCAGUUUGGUGUGGCGGAGAAACUCUGUGGAAGUGGCCAGUGGCGUGGGCUCCUUCGGCCGGCGCUUGACCAUCAUCAACCCAACGAGUGCCGAUGUGGGCAUGUACGUGUGCGAAGCCUCACUUUUGGACAGCAGCGUGAAACCGGCAGAGGCCAGAGCCUUCCUCUCCAUCACAGAGGCACCCUAUUUCACCGCUGAGCCCAGGAGAAAGAUGAUGGGAGAGGUGGAGAAAAGCGUGGAUAUCCAGUGCCAAGCUCGAGGGGUGCCCAUGCCGAAGCUGGAGUGGUAUAAGGAUGCCGUGCCCCUCAGUAAACUCAACAACCCUCGCUACAAGGUCAUUUCCAGCAUGGGGCUUCAGGUCAGGAAGCUACAGCCCAGCGAUGCCGGAAUCUUCCAGUGCUUCGCCAGGAACUCGGCCGGAGAGGCUCAGGUCCACACUUACCUGGACAUCACUAGUAUGGCUCCGGGCUUCACCGCGGCACCGGUCGACAUCACUGUCACAGAUGGAGCGGUGGCCAUGUUCACCUGUCAGGUAUCUGGGGCCCCUAAACCUGCCAUCACAUGGAAGAGAGAUACUCAGAUCCUUGCCAGCGGUUCGGUGCAAAUUCCACGUUUCACCCUGCUGGAGUCCGGCGGUCUGCAGAUUCAACCGGUGGUGCUGCAGUACACGGGGAUGUACACCUGCUACGCCGCUAACUCAGAAAGAGUAAUCAACGCCAGCGCCUCCCUCACCGUAUGGAGUCGCACGUCCAUAUCCAGGCCUCCCAUGGACAGACGUGUCAUUAAGGGGACCACAGCCAUUUUGGAGUGCGCCGCCACCCACGACCCGCGUGUGGCAGUGAGGUACGUGUGGAAAAAGGAUGAGGAGUUAGUGAGCCAGACCAGAGGGGGGCGUAUCACCCUGCAGGAGGGCUCCUUGCACAUCAGUCAAACCUGGUCCGGGGACAUCGGGGACUAUACCUGUGACGUCAUCUCUCAAGCCGGCAACGACUCCAAGGCGGCCCGUCUGGAGGUCAUAGAGCUGCCACAUUCGCCCCGAAACCUACAGGCCAGCCUGAACGCCAACGACAGCCGCAGCGUGGAUCUGUCCUGGAUGAGACCCUUCGAUGGAAACAGCCCCCUACUGCAUUAUGUGGUGGAGCUUUCAGAGAACAAUUCUCCCUGGAGAGUGUAUUUGCCUGAUGUGGACCCCACCGUGACUGGAGCCAUGGUGAAGGGCCUGACUCCGGCCCGCUCGUACCAGUUCAGAGUUUGCGCAGUCAAUCAGGUUGGCAAGGGACAGUACAGCACCGAAACCAACAGAUUGACGCUGCGAGAGGAACCGCCCAGCGCUCCGCCCAAGAACAUCGUAGCCAGCGGCAGAACCAACCAAUCCAUUAUGGUGCAGUGGCAGCCACCUCCGGAGCCUCAGCUCAAUGGAGUCUUGAGAGGCUACGUCCUCAGGUACCGGCUCGCCGGGCUCCCUGGAGAGUACCAGCAGAAGAACAUCACCAGCCCUGAGAUCAACUACUGCCUGAUCACAGAGCUCAUCAUCUGGACCCAGUAUGAGAUUCAGGUGGCCGCGUAUACCGGGGCAGGCCUGGGCGUCUUCAGUCAGCCUGUCACUGAGUACACGCUACAGGGAGUUCCCACAGCUCCCCCUCAGGGUGUGGAGGUCAAGGCAGUAAACUCAACCACAAUUGAAUUUACCUGGAAUCCACCGCCUCAGCAGUUCAUCAAUGGCAUUAAUCAAGGUUACAAGCUGAUGGCGUGGCCUGAACGAUCUCCAGAGGAUGUUAUCAUCGUGACCAUCACCCCUGAUUAUCACGGGACACGCCACCUCGGUUACAUCAGCGGUCUAAAAAAGUUCACCUGGUACUUGACGUCAGUGCUGUGUUUUACCACACCAGGGAAUGGACCCCGCAGUGUCCCCAAACUGGUGCAGACUCACGAGGACAUUCCAGGCCCUGUUGGUCGCUUGAGCUUUACAGAGAUUUUGGACACGUCUCUGAGAGUGAGCUGGGAGGAACCCGUGGACAAGAACGGCAUUGUUACUGGUUACCUGGUGUCCUGGGAAGUUCAGGGGAAGAACCAAUCGCGAGUGGCGCGUACUUUGACCAACUCCACGUUGGACUACAAGGUCACCGGUCUGACGUCCCUCACUACGUACACGCUAGAGGUGGCAGCUAUGACGGAGGCGGGCGUAGGAACUGUAACUUCCUCCACCAUUUCAUCCGGAGUGCCACCAGAACUUCCCGGGCCUCCAUCAAAUUUGGUUAUUUCCAAGAUCAGUUCACGAUCUGCUACGCUGAAGUUCCGUGCAGGGGAUGAUGGGAAGACGACCAUCUCCAAGUGGAUCGUUGAGGGGCAGGUUGGCAGUAUCGGUGAAGAGGAAGAGUGGAAGGUGUUGUACGUGAAAGAGAAUGACCCUGAAGCUCAGGUGCUGGAGGUGCCCAAUCUCACACCGUUCACACACUACAGGUUCCGAAUGCGUCAGGUGAAUAUUGUGGGCCCGAGUCCGGUGAGCGUGCCGUCCCGUGUAAUUCAAACCCUGCAGGCUCCUCCAGACAAGGCGCCCAGCAGUGUGACGGUGCGCACGGCCAGUGAGACCAGCCUCUGGCUACGCUGGGUGCCACUGCCGGAGACUGAGUACAAUGGAAACCCGGAGAGCGUGGGCUACAGGGUCAGAGUGUUGCGAGCGGACCUGCGGGGUGAGGCCAGCACACGAUUGGUGAACGACAGACUGGAGAGGGAGAUCACCCUGGAGGGUCUGGAGGAGUGGACCGAAUACCAGCUGCAGAUCCAGGCCUUUAAUUCCAUAGGCCCCGGGCCCUGGAGUGAGCCUUUGAAGGGACGUACGCGUGAGUCAGUGCCAUCGGGGGCUCCGGAAAAUGUGACGGUGGAGGCCAUGAGCUCCAGUCGCAUCCUGGUAACCUGGGGCUCGGUUCCUGAGCAUGAGCAGAAUGGCAACAUCCUCGGAUAUAAGGUUAUGUACAAAGAGAAAGACUCAGAUUCGGAGGCACAGGUGAAUGUGGUUAAAGGCAACCUGACACAGUCUGUCUUACUGAGGAACCUGCGUAAAUACGUCCAGUAUGAAAUCCAAGUUUUGGCUUUCACACGAAUUGGAGAUGGGCAGCUCAGCAGCCCCCCAGUCUUGGAGAGGACCAAGGAUGAUGUUCCCGGACCACCUAUGAGACUUGUGUUCCCGGAGGUGCGUCUCACAGAAGUGAGGGUGGUCUGGCAACCCCCUGUGGACCCCAAUGGCAUAAUUAUGGGAUACCAGGUAGCUUACCGUCUGGAUUCUGGGGAUCCCAACCAGUUCAUCACAGUAGAGGUGGGCCCUGAUACCCGUCAGUUCACCGCCUCCAACUUGACCCCGGAGUCGGCCUACAUCUUUCGCAUCUCUGCCAAGACGGAGCAGGGCUGGGGAGCACCUGCACAGGCUGUGGUCAUAACUACUGAGAUCAGAGAGCGACCGCAGCCUCCACGGCAGCUGCGGGUGCCUCAGGACCACGUGCAGUCCCGCAAAUUGCAGCUCAACUGGGUGCCCGGAGGGGACGGCUCCUCUCCUGUCCGUUACUUCACCCUGCAGACACGGGAGCUGCCCAGAGGAGACUGGCUCACCCAUUCUUCUGCUAUAAGCCACAAUUAUACCUCCUGGGAAGUGGACAGGCUGAAACCCUUCACUUCAUACAAGCUCAGAAUGAUGGCGACUAAUGACGUCGGCGACAGCAAGUACAGCCAAGAGACGGAUGCAAUUACCACUUUACAAGAUGUUCCUGAUGAAUCGCCCACAAUUCAAGCCGUCAAACCCUCCACGACAACAUCCGUGCUUGUGCAGUGGCAGACGCCCAAGGAGGAGAGUGUGAAUGGGGUUCUGGUGGGCUAUCGGCUCUACUACCGCGAGCUGCAGUAUGACAGCGCACCGCAGGAGUCAAAGCGGGCCGUCAACAGCUCCUUGCUGCGCACCGAACUGACAGAUGCGCCUUUCAAGCACGCUUAUGGAUCUUCUGUUUGUAAUUUUGAAUUCUCAUCAGAGCUGCAGAAAUACAGACGCUAUGAAAUUGUGAUGACUGCCUACAACGUCAUUGGCGAAAGCCCUCCAAGUGCUCCAGUAGAGGUGUUUGUUGGAGAAGCAGCUCCCUCUGUGGCUCCUCAGAACAUCCAGAUCAACACUUUGUCAUCCACACAGCUGGAGGUGCAGUGGGAGCCGCCCCCUGCCGAGACCCAAAAUGGCAUUAUUCAGGGAUAUAAGAUUCUUUACUGGGAGAUGGACAAUCAGAAUGAAACAGAGAGAGUUAAGAUUCUCUUCCGGCCUGAAACCAACAUGAGACUGAAGAACCUGACCAGCUACACAUACUAUAUGGUCAAGCUGUCCGCCUUCAAUGCUGCUGGAGACGGUCCCUUCAGUGAGCCCAGGAGGGGGCGCACUCUUCAGGCAGCCCCCAGCGCUCCCAGCUUCAUCAGUUUCUCCGAGGUGACCAGCAGCACUCUGAACGUGUCCUGGGGUUUCCCGCUGUCCCCCAACGGUGUGGUGGAAGGCUACAGGGUGGUAUAUGAGCCCAGCGCCCCUAUUCAAGGUGUGACUAAAGUGGUAACGGUGGAUAUCCGUGGCAGCUGGCAGCGCUGGCUGAAGGUGCGUGACCUGACCAAGGGUGUAACCUAUUGCUUCCGCGUGCAGGCCAAGACUAUUGCCUACGGGCCUGAGGCAGAGGCCAACAUUACAGCGGGUCCUGUCAAAGGGUCUCCUGGAUCUCCUGUAGAAAUGUCAAUCUCAAAGACAGGAUCCAUGCUCAACAUCCACUGGACACCAGGAGAUACAGGAGCAGGACAUGUGACCGGCUAUGUGAUCGAGGCACGCCCAUCAGAUGAAGGGAUGUGGGAUACGUUUGUGCGGCACUUGCCUCCCACCAGCACCUCUCACUCAGUGAGUCUAGACCGCCUGCGGCAGGGUAUCAGCUACCAGUUCAGAGUGCUGGCCGUCAACGAGUUCGGCUACGGCGAGCCGAGUGCACCCUCUGCUGCCAUGUCAGGCCAACAUGACACCCCGUUUUAUGAGGAGUGGUGGUUUCUCAUCGUGCUGGCGUUGUGUGGCCUGAUUCUGCUGUUGCUGGUGGUUUUCGGUCUCGUCUUGCACGGACAGAACAGGAAGUACAAGAGCUGUGGAACAGGUAAAGCUGUGUCCACGGUGGAGGAGACAGUCACGCUGGACAAUGGAGGCUUCACGGCUCUAGAGCUCAACAGCAGGCCCGUUCAUGUCAAGAGUGUGUUCUUGAGGAAGAACGGCACCAGCAGGUCCCCUCCCCGUCCCAAUCCAGCCGGACUGCGCUAUUCCGACGAAGACAUCUGUAGCAACUACAACGGCGUGGUUUCCACAGAGAGCACUGCACUGACUGAGAGGCCUGCAGAGAUAUCAGAGUCUGAGGCCACAGACAGCGAGUGCGAAGAGGAGCCGAUCAAACACUCGUUCGUGAAUCACUACAUGAGCGACCCAUCAUACUUCAACUCGUGGAAGCGGCAGCAGAAGGGGCUGAAGCAGACGCUGGCCUGUUCCUAUGAUGAAUGUGCCAGCGGGGACACCGAAUCCUACUAUCAGACAGUGGUCACACAGCACAGCGUUGGCGGGGUCUACACCCCCGCCGGCCAGCCCGCACCAGGCUCACGGACUCCCGUCACAGGCUUCUCCUCGUUCGUGUGACACACAAGAGGACCCAGCUCGGACAACGUAGUUGCAGAAGAAAUUCUCUGGUUUCGCACAGUACUAUCACCACGAGCACUACAAGAGACAUCACAUGUGACCGCUCAUCGAGUUGCUGGAUCCUGAAUGUACUCGAUCAAGAUCAUUAUUAAGAGAAGGGGAGAAAAAAAAGAUUUUUAUAUGCCAAUACCGAAGACUAAUCAGAGUUAUUGUUAAUGUACGUGUCCCUCCUGUUUGCAGCCUCGGUUGUGAAAGAUGCAUAAAUGUCUGUGGUUUUAAUGAGCAGGACGCAACAGAAGAUUCCUGUACAUGUGACGAGACAUUCCCGCUCUAAAGAGCGCCAUAUAUUCACACUUAACAUUCCUGCCCUUACCACACUGAAAAGAACUUAAGGAAAAAGCUAAGUGAAAAACACGCUGUAAUUACUGUAUAGUCUUGUCUGAAUAAUCUCAUCUCACUGUCGGUGUCGCUAUAUAUACAUGUUGCACUCGAGAUCGUAAAGGUCAUGAAAUGUAAAUCUUCUCUAAUGGAUUUGAUUUGUGUUCACGUGGCCUGGAUAAUGAAGCACGGUUGUUUUCAGUAUAUUCUCUAUAGACUCACCAGCAAGAAAACCUGCGGAGGCUGUUAGAAGAAGCCAGACAGCUCUGGUUCCCUGCCUCUGUGUAAUCAGACGGUGAGACCGUGCCAGAUGUGUUGUGAUUUGUGCCACUGCUCAUUCUCACACAUAUCAACAAGUUCAUAGGUUUUUUUUUUUUUGGCUUUUACUCUUCUUGUUUUGUUCCUGUCUGUUUGGCCUCGCUUAGGAACUGCAAACACUCACUUGAAAUUAUUUAAUGAACGAUUGUAUGAAUUGUAUGUAAGGAGAUCAGUAUGUGGUUGCUUUGCACAUAUGUUCUGCACUUUUGAGCCAUAAAUAUUUCUGUUUCCUUCUUUUGAUUGAAUAUUUGCUUUUUUACAGGCUUGUAAAAAGUGUAAUUUGACAGUGCGAUUUUAGAAUUAAUUUGUAUGAAUUUUGUUGUUCAUUGUAGUGUUCUUCAGAAGUGACGUACAGUAGUUCCGUUGUUCUUUCACAAGAAGUAUGAAUUUUUGCAGUUCUUGAAAAUGCCAACACAAGAAGUACAGUAAUCAAACAAGAGUGUGCUGUUAUGGAAAUGUUUGUUUCAAUCCCAACAACUGUUUUAGCACAAGUGUAUGUCAUGGACGUUCAUGAAGUAAAGAUUUUUUUAUGAUAAAUUAAAUGUUUGUUGUUCACUUAAAUGCCUCCAACUACAAUGUCAUCUUGAUAAUACGUCAACAUGCACACUAAAUCAUGACAGAAAACAAAAAUUUUGGGAAAGCAUUUAAUCAAAUCAUCACUUUUAUCACAGAAUAAACUGGCUGUAUUUGUAUUUCUGCCUGCUGGC